GAACAAGAGUUUCGAUGUAUGUCAUGAAUAUGUUGCAGAGGAAGGAAGAGAGCUCUACGAGUUGGUAGCACAUUUGCCUGACAAAGCUAAUAACUAUUUAACACCUGCAUUGUCUGUUUUGGAGAAGAACACUUGAUCAUCCUCUAAGAAAUCCGCCAUUAUUAUCGAUUCACACCCCUGCAAAAAGAGAAAGAAGAAAAAAGAUGUAUAUUUCUCGGAUGUUCAUAAUAGAAUGUAUCUUUUCUACUUCUCAGCCAUAAAAUUACAGCUUCUGCGUCUUUUCUUUCUGUAAAUCGAUAUGAAUGUAUAUGGAAACACAUGAAA